GUCUUUUAUGAUUAUUUAUUUAAAGUCAGGCCUGCUCUAUGAUUUAUUAAAUGGCCGCAGUAUACUAACUGUGCAAAGGUAGCAUGAUCAUUUGUUCCUUAAUUAGGAACUUGUAUGAAUGGUUUUAUGAGGGAUAAGCUUUCUUUAUUUUACUAUAAUGAAUUUAACUUUUAGGUUAAAAGGCUUAAAUGUUGUUAAGGGACGAUAAGACCCUAUAGAACUUUAUUUUCUUUUUUAUAUUUAUAUAUUUGAUGUUAAUUUUGUAUUUAUAUGGAUGAGAAUUUUGUUGGGGAGACAGGUAAAUUUGUAUAACUUAAUUUAUCUAAUUUAAAUAUCAUUAAUUUAUGUAUUUUUGAUCCAAUAAUAUUGAAUAUAAGAUUAAGUUACCUUAGGGAUAACAGCGUAAUUCUUUUAGAGAGUUCAUAUCAAUGAAGGAGUUUGCGACCUCGAUGUUGGAUUAAAAUAAGUNUGUGGCGCAGUAGAUAUGAGAUUAGGNCUGNUCGACCUUUAAAUUUUUACA
rnacentral:rRNA from 1 species